AAGAGUUUGAUUUAUAAUGCUGUAUUUGUUAUUCACUUUUGACAAAAAUUUCAUCCUUUCUAACAUUUUUGCCCUUUUUUGCAGCUUCUCUUCCUUGACAUCAUAAAAUGCAAACAUGUUUAAAAUGAUCUGUGGAGUGGAGAUCAUUUUUCUUAUUGCUGCUAUUUUCUCCCUGAAUUUCGAGCUCUGUUUUUGCUCAUGUGCCCGAACUGAGUAUGAGAUAGAUGGACAAUGCUGUCCCAUGUGUACACCUGGAUAUCGUGUUUAUAAGCACUGUACUGUGGAAACAAGCACUACAUGUGUUUCAUGUCAUGAUUCGACUUUCAUUGAUGCACCAAACGGACUAAUAGACUGCUUUAGCUGUACAGUGUGUGAUUCUGGUCAGGGUUUAAGAGUAAAGAUUCCCUGCACUCAAUCAUCAGAUACAGUCUGUGAG